AGUGUUCCUAGGUUGGAAAGUAUAAGUCCCAUGGGAAGUCAGCUGAAGAACAUUUCCUACAUCUCUCAUCCUAUUAUGAGAUCUUUGCUGUUCCAUCUCUUUACAAGG
ensembl:misc_RNA